GAUGAACGCUGGCGGCGUGCCUAAUACAUGCAAGUCGAGCGAACAGAUGAGGAUCUUGCUCCUCUGACGUUAGCGGCGGACGGGUGAAUAACACGUGUAUAACCUACCUAUAAUACUGGUAUAACUUCGAGAAACCGGAUCUAAUACCGUAUAAUAUCUUGAACCGCAGUGGUCAAUAGUAAAAUACGGUUGUUCUGUCACGACUAGAGGGUUCCCCGCCUCAUUGGAUAGUUGUUAAGGUAACGGCUUUCCAAGGCAACGAUGCGUGGGCGAAGUGAGGGGGUGAUAGGCAACCCUGGAACUGAGCCAGCGUCAAGACUACUACGGGAGGCCGCAGUAGGCAACCUUACGCAACGGGCGAAAGCCUGACGGAGCAACGCCGAGUGAGUGACGACGGUCCUCGGUUCGUAAAAAUCUGUUAUUAGGGAAGAACAAAUGUGUAAGUAACUAUGCACGUAUUGACGGUAAUUAAUAAGAAAGCACCGGCUAACUACGUG
rnacentral:rRNA from 1 species